rfam:Candidatus Lindowbacteria bacterium RIFCSPLOWO2_12_FTLL_62_27 rifcsplowo2_12_scaffold_49, whole genome shotgun sequence.
AGAUGGACACCCGCAUAAAGCGUAGCCAGCGAUGCGGUACCGAGUCUUGCGCGAUGUCGGGCAAUCGGCAGCGUGAAGCGUGGACAGGGAGGGCGUAGGCCGUAACGCAAGUGAAUGGAUUGAGCCCCGAAAAAGAAAACCUUCCCGAAAGGGAAGAUGUUGUGGAAGCCGAGUCUCUGUAAUUUGCCGAAGGCAAUACGAAACGACCGAAAGGGCGAGGUCGCGUAGUUCCACCGGGGUCAAAGACAA